CUAAACCUGGCAAAUUCAAAUAAUAAAGUUAGCCCAGAAGGCUACGUUAAAAAGGAAAAGGUUGUAAAUGCUCUCGCAAGGAGGCCUCGCAAACGAAGAACUUCUGGAAGCACUGUCAAUUUAUUGGACAAUGAGAGAUAUGUUGGUGGCUACAGACUGGCAAGGUUUCAGGAAAUGGGGAGUCUUAUUAAAGUCACAAGUGUAUUAAUGGGAAACAGGAUGUUAAAACAAGCUGAUCAUUGUUGACCCAUCAAAAGAACUGUUCAUCAUAUGCUGUCUUUGAUUAAAAACUUGUUCAUGAAAAUAUAGUAAUUAGUUGUUUUGUAUAGCCAUGGAUUUUUUUAUUCAUUUAAUUUAAUUUUUAUUUUAUUUCAUAUCUCACCCACAGCGGGUCCAACACUUACAGAAUGAAGAAUAAAAUAUAAA